rnacentral:rRNA from 1 species
GCAAGUCGAACGAAAACACUGAAUAGCUUGCUAAUUAGUGUUUUAGUGGCGGACGGGUUAGUAACACGUGAGCAACCUGCCUCGAAGCGGGGGAUAGCCUUCCGAAAGGGAGAUUAAUACCGCAUGUGGUCUUCGGACCAAAGACGCCUUCGGGUGUCACUUCGAGAUGGGCUCGCGGCCUAUCAGCUUGUUGGUGAGGUAAUAGCUCACCAAGGCGACGACGGGUAGCCGGCCUGAGAGGGUGACC